rnacentral:tRNA from 1 species
GCGGGCGUGGCGGAACUGGCAGACGCGCGGGAUUUAGGUUCCCGUGGCCGCGAGGCCGUGCAGGUUCGAUUCCUGUCGCCCGCA